AAAACGUGGAGGAAGGUGGGGAUGACGUCGAAAUCAGCAUGGCCUUUAUGUCUUGGGCUACACACACGCUACAAUGGAUGGUACAAUGGGUUGGCCAAAGAGCGAUCUGGAGCUAAUCCCAAAAAACCAUCCUCAGUUCAGAUUGCAGGCUGCAAUGCCUGCAUGAAGUUGGAGUUGCUAGUAACCGCAGGUCAGCACACUGCGGUGAAUACGUUCUCGGGCCUU
rnacentral:rRNA from 1 species